rnacentral:lncRNA from 1 species
GAACUACAAAGUUUGGUGUGUCCACUAGUGUGGUUUCAUACCCCCUAGGUCUUGCUGUUGAGGACUGGUUCUGCCAGGCAUGAUCAAUGACCACCCACAAUGUCCUGUGGCCCAGCCUGUGGAGAGGUGCCCAAACAGAGUUAUCUGGGUCCACAUCCAUGUGCCCAGCUAUUCUGUCCAAUCAUAGCACAAAGACAGGUUGCCUGUGUCCAGAGGGACACACAGCCUCAGGCACACCAGCCCUUACUUAUGAGCUUGAUGGUCAUCAGCAAAGACUCUCUCCCUUUAGGAGGGUUCUCCUUGGGACUUUUCAGUGUCUUGGCAGGAAAGAGAUGGCACACACGAAGCACUGAUUGAAGACAGUUUAAUGAAAGAAUAUUUACAGAGGUUGGGCAAGGGUAUGGAAAACAACAGGGAACAGUAAAACACCCAGGGAUGACAAGGCAAGGUAGCUCAUGUCUGUAAUCUCAGCACUUUGGGAGGCCAACACAGGCAGAUUGCUUGAGCCCAGGAGUUUGAAACCAGCCUGGCAACAUAAGCAAGAAUCUGUUUAUCUACAAAAAAUAAAAUAAUUAAAAAAAAAUUACCUGGCUGUGGUGUUGCACACCUAUAGUCCCAGCUACUCAGGAGUCUGAGGUGGGAGGAUCACUUGAGUCCAGGAGUUUGAGGUUACAAUGAGCUAGGAUCACACUACUGCACUCCAGCCUAGGCGACAAAGAGAGAUGCUGUCUCUAAAAAUAAAAAACAAAAACAAACUACCCAGGAACAGGCAGGCCACCAACUGUUACCAUCUCUUGCCUAGAGAGACAAGGAGAAGGAUCUAGAACCCAGGGAGAGCUAUAGCCAUGGAGAAGGAGUCACCCAAUGGAAGCCCUGGCCACAGCUAGAGGAUCAAAACUCCUGCACCCACUGCAGCUCAGUAGGAAGAGAGCUGGGGGAAUAAAUACCUUGACCUCUUGCCUCCUGCCCUCCAAUCUCCUGUCUGGGUCUUCCAUUGGCCAAAAACAACAGAAGCUAAAGGUCAGGGGACCCUGGGUGAUACGGUCCACAUAGGCAGCACACUGGAGCAAAAGAAGAAAAACCAGCACAAUUCAUCUUAUUACCACUUAGCAGCCAUUCACAAACUUUGCUUAGAUGGGAGAAAAAUAUUUUGUCCCCGGCACAGGGGAAACAUAAAAUCUCACCAGCAGCCAUAUUGUCUGGGGGUGAUAGCAAUUUAGUCCCACUCCCUCCUGCAACUUAAAUCAUAAUGUAGCCAGUCCCGGGUAAGUGGAACACUUCCUGUAAAGCACAACUGCUAGUGCCCCCUUCUGUGGCUGGUCAUGAGGCCCAGAGUGGUAACUGCAGUCUUGUUCUCCCACCACCCAUUCCAUAGCCCCUCUACUUUCUGGCAGUCCCUUAGCUGUUGGAGAAUUUUAUCUGGUGGAAUGACCCAAAUCUUCAUCCACAGAGGAUUCAAAUUCUUAGUGCCGUGUCUUCAAUGAGUUGCCACAGUAUCCACAGAUUCCUAAAGAACAUGAAGAGGCCUUGAAGAUCUCACCUGGAAGCUCUGUAAAAUUAUCAGAAAGAAUAGCAGGUGCUCUAGGGCAACACUACUCAAACUAUGGUCCACGGAUGGACAGCAUUGGCAUCUCUGGGGAGCUUGUUAGAAAUCUAAUUUCAUGCCCCCACCUCAGGCUUACAGAAUGAGGACAAGGGAUACAGGGAGUACCAAGUGCCCUAGCGAAUCCCAGGGUUCCAAAGCUAGUACUCCUUGCCCCUAUUGUGUAGCAGAAACCCCACUUUCCCUUGGAUAUUGGGGUUAACCAUCCUGACAGUGCAGUGAUCUCUUUCUCUGCCAAUAUUUCAACAUAAGGAGCCCCAGAUGGCACAAGAUCAUCUUCCAAUUUAACAGACCCAUAACUAUAUUCCCUGGUGGAAGCAGUUCCUCUUGGUCACUAGAGAUUUCCAAACCCACAAAACCUAAGGUUUCUUGGUUAAAGGCCAUGUUUGUGGGAUAUGCUGAGAUGAAUAUGCUGUGGUUUGAAUGUGUCCCCCAAAGUUCAUAUGUUGGAAACUUGAUUCCCAUUGCAACAGUGUUGAGAUCUGGGGCCCAAUGAGAGGUGAUUAGGCCAUGAGGGCGGAGUGAAUGGAUUAAUGCAGUUAUCUCAAGAGUGGGUUUGUUAUGAAGGGGGUGUUUGGUCCUCUUUUCUCUCUUGCCCAUGUGAUUCCUUCCACCAUGUUUAUGAUGCAACAAGAAGGUCCUCACCAGAUGCUGGUUCCUUGAUCUUGUAUUUUGCAGCCUCCAAAAUCGUGAGCCAAAUAAAUUUCUAUUCAUUAUAAA